rnacentral:rRNA from 1 species
AUACGAAGGUCCCAAGCGUUAUUCGGAGUCACUGGGCGUAAAGAGUACGUAGGCGGUUUGGUAAGUCAGGUGUGAAAUCCCGAAGCUCAACUUCGGAACUGCAUCCGAUACUGCCAGACUAGAGUAAUGGAGAGGCAGGUGGAAUUCUCGGUGUAGCAGUGAAAUGCGUGGAUAUCGAGAGGAAGACCAAUGGCGAAGGCAGCCUGCUGGACAUUUACUGACGCUGAGGUACGAAGGCUAGGGGAGCGAAAGGGAUUAGAAACCCCAGUAGUCC